CACGUAGGGUGCAAGCGUUGUCCGGAAUCAUUGGGCGUAAAGAGCUCGUAGGCGGCUUAGUAAGUCGGGUGUGAAAACCCCGGCUCAACCUGGGACGCCACCCGAUACUGCUAUAGCUAGAGUCCAGUAGGGAGUGGUGGAAUUCCCAGUGUAGCGGUGAAAUGACGCAGAUAUUGGGAGGAACACCAGCGGCGAAGGCGGCACUCUGGCUGGUACUGACGCUGAGGAGCGAAAGCGUGGGUAGCGGAACAGG
rnacentral:rRNA from 1 species